rnacentral:lncRNA from 1 species
CUUUACAUGGAUAACAUAUUACAAAACCCUGAAAGAUCAGAGGCUUUGAUGUAGCUGGUCAUGGGAGGGGCUUUGAUGCCCCAACCUUACAAUUAUUGGAGGUAGAGAAACCUGAAAGAUUGGAUUUGGAGGCUCUAAUGUAGCUGGUCAUGGGAGGUUUAGAGAAACCCAAAAGAAAAAGAUCUCCACAUUACAGUCCCGACAAUCUGUGUAAAGUAUAUCAAACCCCAAUCAUUCCUCUUAUAAAAUAAUAACAGAUAGUUAAAGUAGUUGACUGAAGAUAAAAAAAAAAAAAAAAAUAGGAAAACUUGUUUUUGAAUCGGCAAAAAUAUAUUGCGACUACUCAUACCCAAGAACAAGUUGUACUCGGACAAGAGCCAUGCAACAACAUGGAAAAUUCAGAGUCAAGACACCCCUCAGCCUUACACCAAAACUAACUUUGUAAAGAAAUUUAUACACCGAACCCAAGUUCACUUCGUGCAUUAUUAAAUUAACACAGGACCAUGAUUAAAGCCAGAAAAUCUGAGUAUGCAUCAGAAUAAAGAGAAAAAAAAGAAUUAGCAUAACCCUUCACUUUUUAAAAUAUAUACAAAAUAUAAACAGGGAAUUAGUAGCAGUAGGCUUAUAUUGAAGAAAACCCAUGUGUCACAAGACCCGUAAAAGUUCCCUGUAUGCCCCUGAAAACGAAAUGUUCGGCUACAAGACAAAAGUCCGAAUUCUGGACAUCAGAUACCAUAUCCAAAUAUACACAAAAGUUAAGAGCAAAACAAAAAAUGAGAAAUAAAAAAUGCAUAAUUCAAGAAAUCUGAUGUGAGUUAUGAAUGGUUUCAAAAACUUGGAAGAGAUCAGAUGGUAGUGCAUGUUUGUUUCAUCAUCUAUAACAGAACCGUUGGAUAAAUAUCAUCAUAUCUCUUUGCAUUUCAUGUAAACAUACUAUAUUUAAAAGUAAAUCAUCUUUAGGUUUCAAAAAAAAAAAGUAAAUCAUCUUUAAAUGAACAUAUGCUAUAUAAAAAUCUAAAUGGCAAAAUUUUUAAAAACAAAAAUAGUAAAAAACAUGUCAUCAAAGUUAAAUAAGACUGGGUAUAAAAAACAUGUCAUCAAAUCAAAUACUCAAUGGGUUUGUCAAAAUUAGGGAGGCACCGCAAUUUUGUUGAAGCUCUAAAAAGUAGCUUUUGCAAAUUGCAACUAUGUUUUCGCCAAAUUCAACACAAAAACACAGCAAAAAAAAGUUAAUUUCUUAAAACUAAAACAAAAUUUAUUUGAUAUUAAAAAACUACAAUCUGGAAGAUGAGAUCAGAUAGUCGAUCUUUCACCAAGUAUGAAAUUCACAGUAAGACUGGACGUCACAUUUAAAGAUGUUAUCCACAUAUCCCUAUGUAUUAAUGUUGCAAACUGNNNNNNNNNNNNNNNNNNNNNNNNNNNNNNNNNNNNNNNNNNNNNNNNNNNNNNNNUGAGUAUAAUGAAAUUAACACUUUAAAAUCUAAGAUAAAAUAACAGGAUCAGAUAAUAAGUCAGUCACCAUGUUACACUUGAAAGUGCAAAUUAAGACUGGGGCGACAAUUACUAUCAUCACAUCCAAUUUUUUGCGAAUUUAUUAAGUUAUAUCAAAGAAUGUAUUCAAUAAUUCAAUAGGCAGAAUUAAAAAAAAAGUGAAGAUGUAAUAACAGAUUAUUCGAAAAUAAGUCUUGUUAGUAAUGUUACCACUUAGAAUUUACAAAAUUACUUCGCACAGAUCAUGAAUAAUACUAACAGAUAAAAUAGGAUCGGAAUUUGAAUGAGUGAAGAGUGGUUUCCCAGAGUAAUAUUACCAUGUGAUUCAUUUCUGCACAUGAUUGGAUGAAAAUAAUACUUACAUCGCAAUCAAACAACACAAAAAUUGCACCAACAUGUUAUCAAGAACCCAAACCUUUGAUAUAGAAUCUAAAUGAAACAAAUACAAAUUACUAUGAUUAUUGUUUAUUCAAAAAAUAGUAAAGUAACUAAAACAUAAAAAUAGAGAAAUAUAUCUAUAUACCUACAAAGUAUAUUCAUAUUAUAUGUUUGUUGCAUUUUUCGAAGAAAUAUAUUUUGGAGUUUAAAUAAACAAGUUUGUUGCAUACACAGACAGUAUACCACUAAUUGUGAUCAUUUUUGGCAUUAGUAUACUAACCCAAAAAAGGGAUAUAUUGUAUGUGUUUAUAGUAAAUCUGUUUACCUUAACUUUAAAAUGUAUUACUGCGAAAAGUGCAACAAAUGUUAUUAUGAAUUAGGAAUAUAUCUUAUAUGUAAUAUUUCUUUAAUUUUCAAUGUUUAUGUUUCAUGCAUAACAUUUUGUACAACCAAUAAUAUCAAUAAUUGAUAUAGUUUCACUUAGAUAUUAUUAUCGAGAUUCUAUCUAUUGAUUAUAAUUAAUGUGUAGCAUUUGUGCUAUUUGAUCGUGAUGUAAGUCUAUGUUUCAACAAAUAAUGAGUAAAAAUGCUUAAAACACAUGAAGGGAGUGCUAGCAACACUCUCUAACACUCACUUUCUAAUUGAGUGAGAGUCAUGUGGGUCUCAUCACAUUUUGCUAUAGAAAACUUCAUGUACACUCCAUUUGGUUGGAAGGAAAGAAAGUGUGAAGGAAGGAAAACACGGAAACCAAUGAGUGAACUUAAACUACAAUUUAGACCAAGUUCAUUCUUCGGUUUCUGUAUUUUCCUUCCUUCCCAUUUCUUUUCUUCCAACCAAACAGAACCAUAACAAGCGAACAUAGUUGAGGACAUAGAACUGUAGAGUCCAAAUGGAGCAGAUGCAAGCACAAAGAAAACUUCAUCUGUAACGAUGGACUCGUUAAUUUUCCAGACUAGUAACUGUAUCAACAAUGGUAUGAUAGAAGGACACAUGACUUAAGUCUGGAGUCAGUAAAGUAUAUAUCAGAGAACCAAAAACUUAAAAUGCAAAACAGAAAAUAAAAUAAAAUAAAAAAACGCAGUGAGUUCUAACUAUUUUAUAUUUAUCCAACUAAUUGCUGAAAUAUGGCACCACAAAAGACACCAAUUAUACAAAAUGAUAUAAACUUCAAAAAAAAUAAAAUCCAAAAUGUUCCAACCUUGACAGGGAUGAUAAGAUACAGAAAAGAAAUCAUCCAGGUAGGGGUGGUUGGAAGCUCUAAAUGUAGCUGGUCAUGGGAAGUGCAGAGAAACCUGAAAAAGAAAAUUUCCACACUACAUUACCAGCAACCUUUGUUGAAAAACUAUCAUAAUCCAUUACCUUACUCUAAUUAAACAUCAACAGAUAGUAAAAACAUGGUUGAUUGAAGACAAAUAAAAAAGAAUGAGAAAAUUGAGGGAAAAUAAAGUAUCGAAUUGCGAAAAGAAAGAUCCCACAAGAGAUCCAACUCGAUAUAUUCGAUAAUAUGGCUUGAUAUAGCUAGUACCAUGAACCAGUAUCAAAUCAUUACACACUUAAUUGCAAUUAAUAAUUGGAUGUGCACGUAUCAUGACACACUGCUAAACCAGCAAAAUGUGCAUCUUCUGAGUGAAUCAUGACUCAGGACAUGAAGAGAAUCAAAGUUCAUACCUCAACAAUCAAUUUCAUUUUAUGAAUUAGAUUAUGAAAACAUUAACCCAAAAUGAGUGAAACAAACAAUAUCUGAGAACAACUUUGUAAAAGAUUAACAAAAUGGGGGUUGUAAAUGUAGGGAAAAUGAUUGUUGUGAUUUUCAACUUUAAAAUGAAACACAACUGCCCAUUUUCCCAAAUUAAUAUUGCUAGGGAACACUUUCGGAAGAAUGCAUUUGAUCAUAGCAAAACACCAAUACACACUAUCCCUGCUUGUUAACAAAACAUCAUCUAUUUCAACAAAUAUUCAUUUAGAGCAUAAUCAAAAUGAACUCCGCAAACCUAAUGAUCAUAUCUAAACAAAACAAGUUACAAUAUUUUGUUCACCAAAAAAUUACGGUGAAAAACUUUGUUCAAAGAAUAAAUUUCAAGGAAACAAGUUACAAAGUAAAAACACCUCAAAUGAUAGAAUUGAAAAACACAAAAUGUAGGAAUAAUCCAAACUCCAAGCACAUUUACAAUCAGCGCAAGAAGCCUAACUAAUUCCAUCAAACAUUUAUUUAGAGCAAUUAUAAAAAUGAACUCCUCAAAGCUAAUGAACAAAGCAGUAGGAAGAUAGUAAUGCUCAUGUAUCAAAAGAAAACAAAUUACAAUAUAAUUGUAACAAUUGUUCCUAAAAACUCAAGGAACAUUGUUCCUAAAAACUCAAGGCUCCUACACAAUCUUUAAUCACAUCUUUCAACAAAUAAAAUACAAACAAACUCAACUACAAGUUUUGAAGUAUCAACACAGACACAACACAUGUACAUCAACACCAAUAAUAAUUUAAAAAUAAAUAACCUUUUCGGCAUCCAUCUGUAUGAUACCCAGACACACAUAAUCCAAGAAGGGUAGAUAGUUUACAAGAGGUGGAAAAACAAAAAACUUUGAUAACUAACUACUUUGACUCCUAGAUUGAGUUAAUAAAACUAUGUGGGCAUUGUAAAGAAAAUGUACCAUUAACACCUAGGUAAACAAUGAAAUUUUGUUUCCUUAGCAAACAAAACAUGGCAUCAAUGGACGUGAAGAUGAUAUUGUCAUCCUCAGACACGAGAAAGUCAAGUAUGAAUAACUAGCUCGCUGUAAAGAUGACAAUUUCAAGAUCUAUAUAUGUUAAGAGAACAGCUUCUCUUUUAUAAAUAUAUGUAAAAAAUAUAAACAGGGAAUUAGUAACAGUAGGCUAAUAUUGUAGAAAACCUCUGUGUCGCAAGACCUGUAAAAGUUCGAUGUAUGCCCGUAAAAACGAAAUGUCCAGCUACAAGACAGAAGUCCGAAUUCUGGACAUCAGAUACCAUAGGCAAAUAAAUACAUAAAGUGAGAAAAAAAGGCUUAAUUCAAGAAAUCUAGAGACAUAUGAAUGCUUUCAAAAAACUUGCAAGAGAUCAGAUGGUAGUGCAUGUUUGUUUCAUCAUCAAUAACAGAACCGUUGGAUAAAUAUCAUCAUAUCUCCUUGCAUUUCAUGCCAAAAAACUAUCUUUAUUUAAAAUUAAAUCAUGACUAAACAAAACAUAUGCUAUAUAAAAAUCUAAACAAAAUCAUGACUAAACAAAAUGGCAUGAUUUUUCAAACAAAUUUAGUAAAACACAUGCCACCAAAUGCAUGUGUGAUUUUGCAAAAGCAAUGAGUGUAGCUUUUUCAAUAUAAUUUUUAAGAGGAAAACAAAUGGAACCCAAUGUAAAUCAUUUUUAAGGGAAAAAUCUAUUUGAGAUUAAGAUUCAAACCAAAAUUAUGGAUAGAGAAAAAGAUGUUCACUCAGAGUUACAAAAAGAUCAAAAAAUUAACUUCCAUAAUGCAUCUGCCUUCUAGUCACGGGUUCAAAACAUCUGCAAAUAUAACCAAAAUGCAAAAAAUAAGCAUGUAAUUACACGGUAAAUAAAUUAGAAUAAGAGGAUGAUAAUAUUAUCAUCUUACAAUUUUGGUUAUUCUGAAGUGCACUAACUAACAUAAAAUGGUAAAUUCUACCAAAAAUUCACUUGGCUAUUAAUAUUUGCAGAACUAUUCACAGUAGAAAUGCAUUUUUUUUAAAAGCCAAGAAUAACAACAACAAAAAAACAAGCAGGGUUGCUUAGAUAACCAGGUACCAAUUAUACAAUCAUCAAGAUCAAACAAGUAAACAACAAAACCAAACGAAACACUUUUACCAAAACUAACGUCUAAGCCAAGAACAAACAGAACCUCUAUCUUACUGUUACUAUGCACAAAAGAAAUGAAAUUACAACAUUUUGAAAAAGGAUUCAGGAAAAAGGGAAAUUAUAAACCAAUCAUAUUGGAGAACAUCUCCAUGGAUAAACAAAUAUGCUCGAUCAGAAAGGGUUUUAGCUGGACAGAAUACAGACAACAUAUGGUAAAAACUGGACCAGAAAAAAUUGAAACUGUAAGCCAAUAUCAUUGGAGAACAUCUCCAUAGAUUUAAAGAGAAGCCUCAAGCAGAAAGGCUUUACACUUGAUAUACGCACAGAUAAAAUCCUGGAAACAAUUUUUGCUAACAAGAAGAACUAAGUGCGAUUUACUUUUUUGCCAGAAAAUAAUAAAAAGAUCAAUUUUCAAGUAAUGUACAGAUUACAUGGAUUAUUUAAGGAGAUAAGUUAUGAAUACAUUUGAUAAGUUAUGGAUUAUCUGUGAGCCAAAUACAUUGGAGCGCAUCUCCAUAGAUAUAAAGAGAAGUCUUCCAUUUGUAAAACACAUGCCAUCAAAUGCAAUGAGUGUAGCUUUUUCAAUAUCAUGGCUCGCCGUGAUUUUUCCAAACUCACCAAAAUCCAAACAUACACUAAAUCUAAACAAAGACAACAAAAAAAAAGUUAUUUUCUUAACUAAAACAAAAAUUAUUUGACAUUAAAAAAUUACAAUCGGUAAGAUGGGAUCAGAUAGUCGAUCUUUCACCAAAUAUGAAAUUCACAGUAAGACUGGACGUCACAUUUAAAGAUUUUAUCCUCAUAUCCCAAUGAAUCAAUUAAAACAAAAAUAAACAAACACAAGCAAAAUUUAAUUAAUUUGAGUAUAAUGAAAUUGAAACUAAAAAUUAUAAAACUAUAAUUAGAGGAUCAGAUAAAAAGUCAGUCACCAUGUUACACUUGAUAGUGCAAAUUAAGACUGGGGCGACAAUUACUAUCAUCAUAUCCUCCUCAUAAUAAUCAUGAAUUUAUAAAGUCAUAUCAUAGAAUGUAUUUGAUAAUAAUUUGAUAUAAUAGAGCUUGAAAUUAACUUACAGAAAAUGAGAUUGGAAUUGGAGAAAGUGAUGAUGGAGAAAUUCUUACAUUGAUUUGAGAUUGGAAUGAAUUAUUUGCUGGUAGAAACAAUUGGUGCAAUUAGGGUUUGUGUUUGGG